rnacentral:lncRNA from 1 species
CCUAUCUAGAGGUUAUAACAGGGUCACCGUCUCAUCUAGAGGUUAUAACAGGGUCACUGUCUCAUCUAGAGGUUAUAACAGGGUCACCGUCUCAUCUACAGGUUAUAACAGGGUCACCGUCUCAUCUAGAGAGGUUAUGACAGGGUCACGGUCUCAUCUAGAGGUUAUAACAGGGUCACCGUCUCAUCUAGAGGUUAUAACAGGGCACCGUCUCAUC